rnacentral:tRNA from 1 species
GGCUGAACAGCUCAGUGGUAAGAGCAGUCGCCUGACAAGCGAAAGACUCGGGUUCGAUUCCCGAUUCAGCGA